rnacentral:rRNA from 2 species
GUCAUAUGCUUGUCUCAAAGAUUAAGCCAUGCAUGUCUCAGUACAAGCCAAAUUAAGGUGAAACCGCGAAAGGCUCAUUAAAUCAGUUAUGGUUCCUUAGAUCGUACCCACAAUUACUUGGAUAACUGUGGUAAUUCUAGAGCUAAUACAUGCAAACAGAGCUCCGACCGGAGACGGAAGGAGUGCUUUUAUUAGAUCAAAACCAAUCGGUGGCGGGUUCGCUCGUCAUCGUACAACUUGGUGACUCUGAAUAACUUUACGCUGAUCGCACGGUCAUCGCACCGGCGACGCAUCUUUCAAAUGUCUGCCUUAUCAACUGUCGAUGGUAGGUUCUGCGCCUACCAUGGUUGUAACGGGUAACGGGGAAUCAGGGUUCGAUUCCGGAGAGGGAGCCUGAGAAACGGCUACCACAUCCAAGGAAGGCAGCAGGCGCGCAAAUUACCCACUCCCGGCACGGGGAGGUAGUGACGAAAAAUAACGAUACGGGACUCAUCCGAGGCCCCGUAAUCGGAAUGAGUACACUCUAAACCCUUUAACGAGGAUCAAUUGGAGGGCAAGUCUGGUGCCAGCAGCC